GACCAACGCUGGCGGCGUGCCUAAUACAUGCAAGUUGAGCGCUGAAGGUUGGUACUUGUACCGACUGGAUGAGCAGCGAACGGGUGAGUAACGCGUGGGGAAUCUGCCUUUGAGCGGGGGACAACAUUUGGAAACGAAUGCUAAUACCGCAUAAAAACUUUAAACACAAGUUUUAAGUUUGAAAGAUGCAAUUGCAUCACACAAAGAUGAGCCCGCGUUGUAUCAGCUAGUUGGUGAGGUAAAGGCUCACCAAGGCGAUGAUACAUAGCCGACCUGAGAGGGUGAUCGGGCACAUUGGGACUGAAACACGGCCCAAACUCCUACGGGAGGCAGCAGUAGGGAAUCUUCGGCAAUGGACGAAAGUCUGACCGAGCAACGCCGCGUGAGUGAAGAAGGUUUUCGGAUCGUAAAACUCUGUUGGUAGAGAAGAACGUUGGUGAGAGUGGAAAGCUCAUCAAGUGACGGUAACUACCCAGAAAGGGACGGCUAACUACGUGCCAGCCGCCGCCGUAA
rnacentral:rRNA from 1 species